rnacentral:rRNA from 1 species
CAACGCUGGCGGCGUGCUUAACACAUGCAAGUCGAACGGUGAAGCAGAGCUUGCUCUGUGGAUCAGUGGCGAACGGGUGAGUAACACGUGAGCAAUCUGCCCCUGACUCUGGGAUAAGCGCUGGAAACGGCGUCUAAUACCGGAUACGAGCUGCGAUCGCAUGGUCAGUAGCUGGAAAGAACUUCGGUCAGGGAUGAGCUCGCGGCCUAUCAGCUUGUUGGUGAGGUAAUGGCUCACCAAGGCGUCGACGGGUAGCCGGCCUGAGAGGGUGACCGGCCACACUGGGACUGAGACACGGCCCAGACUCCUACGGGAGG